GUCUUAUAUUCAAAAAUGAUUUUAAAUUGCAAAUUUAAAGGGGGUAUUAAACCUAAGGCUUA
rnacentral:tRNA from 1 species